UACGGGGGGGGCAAGCGUUGUUCGGAAUUACUGGGCGUAAAGGGUUCGUAGGCGGCCAACUAAGUCGGACGUGAAAUCCCUCAGCUUAACUGGGGAACUGCGUCCGAUACUGGAUGGCUUGGAUUCGGGAGAGGGAUGCGGAAUUCCAGGUGUAGCGGUGAAAUGCGUAGAUAUCUGGAGGAACACCGGUGGCGAAGGCGGCAUCCUGGACCGAUAUUGACGCUGAGGAGCGAAAGCCAGGGGAGCAAACGGG
rnacentral:rRNA from 1 species